GAUUUCGAAAAGCCGUCGACAUCAGCAUUUGUUUUGGCACGAAAGCCACAAAAUCACCCUUACUCCCACUCAUAAUUGUGCAGGGAUCAGAGCUCCUCGACAUUGAUAGGACGACGGGUGAAAUCGAGUUUGCGAAACUCACAAAUUUCUCGCGCUCUCAUUUUUUGCUUCCAAACAGCCCAUCGGCCAAAGCAUUGUUUGAGUAUUCUUUGUAGCAAAACAUAUUAAAUGUCUAUCUGGCAAAUCGCUUUAAAGUAAAAGCGUAUAGAAUUUAUUUAUCUGAACUAUGGAUUGUUUUUGUUCAGCUAUCCAACAUUUCAAAAUUUGGAAUUUACCAUCCAACCAUUCAUUUUGUUUAAUUUGUGUUGGUCUGCGGAAUUUUAACUUCAAAGAUUUAUCUUCACAUGUUAGUUUGUUUACUUCAUAUAAUUCUUGUGAAGAUAAAUCUAAAAAAAUUAAUUGAAAGUCCAAUGAUAAAUUCUAAACAAAAAUUACGAGGAUCCAAUAACUAUCUCACUAUUUUUUUUUAAGAAAAAAGAUAGCACGUUAGCUGUUUCAUUUAUUAAGAGUUAUUUACUUUCAAGUAAUUAUAAUUGCACUACAGUUGUAAUUGUAUGCAAAUUCAAAUCAGUCAUUUAGUUUUAUAUAUUUGAAUCUAGUUGUUGCAGUUAAAACUGUUACAAGGAGGCACAAAUAUUGAAGUUACAAAUAUACCCAAAUUUACUGCAGUUCCAACUGCCGCAAUUGAAAACAGUUACAAUAAAUAAAAAUAAGCUAACCUUUCCAAUAAUCUUCUAAAUAUAAAAUAUAUAUAUUUUCUAAAUAGGGGGCCAACUAUACAUAACCAAAUAAAAUAUUAAUACUUGCUGUACUUCUACUAUAUCCAAUCAACUAAAAUAUAUGCAAUUAAGUUAUUACUAGUGUUGAGACACGCGCAAUGCAGUGGGUAGAUAAUAGAAGAAAAAUUUAAAAAUUUUUAUAAAAUUUAUAUUUACAGCUUAUUGAUAUAUAGAAAGCUAUACCAUGUUAAGCACAAUCAAUUUGGAUGACUAAAUUCAACUGUUAAAAAAAUAAAAUUAUAGCUAGAACUCACUUAUUGAUAAAAUAUUAAUAUAGUGCAUAUAAUUAAAUAUUGCAUCUUACACGUAAUUAGAUGAGUGGGGAGGUAAGGGUUGGGUGUUGAGAAGAGGAGAAUGUGGUUUGAUUUAAAGUUGGGUUAUGAGAAUGAAGAGUAAUACGUUACGUAGCAAAAAGUUUUUUUAUGGUGUAUGUAAAAAGGUUACAAAAGAGAAAGGGUGGGAGAUUAAUGAAUAAGGGGAGUUGAUUAAAAUUAUAAAGCCCACUCAUUAGUAAAAUAUUAAUAUGGUGCAUGUAAUUAAAUGUUGCACCUUACAUGUAAUUAGAGGAGUGGGGAGGUGAAAGGUUGGGCGUUGAGAAAAGAAAAAGGUGGUUUGAUUUAAAGUUGAGCUAUGAGAAUGAAAAGUAACAUAGUGCGUGGCAAAAAAUAUUGUGACUUCGUAUAGAUUUAUAUAUAUUUUUAACUAUAUGUAUUUUGAACUAUACUAUAUUUAUAAUUACAUCAAACCACAAUGGCUCCUAAGCGAUGGCUUAAAGGUGCCAACAUUUUGCCUUGUAGCAGGAGGUCCGGUUAGGCCUAAUCAUAUUUAAAAUGGCGGGAGACCCGGUUAGAUCGAGUCAUGUUCGAAAUUAUGUGAGGCUAGUUGAGCUGAGUCACAAUCGAUACUUUUGGGCGCUAUAUCUAUAUAAGUAAAUCAGCUAUAUCUUUGUAAUAAUUUGAGUUUUUGAGAUUAAUAGUUAGCGUCAGCAAUCCGAUACUAAGAACAUGACUUAAAGCUUAUAAAAAUAAGAGUGAUGCUACCUUUCCACUCUUUUUUGGAGUAUAUAUGGACCAAUCUUAGGCUUCAUUUGAGAUUUGGGAUUGCGGGGAGAUUACGUUACGUGUGGUGAGAAAAUACGAAAAAAAAAUAUCAUAUUUGUUUUCAUACGUAAUAUUACGUUUUGCAUAAUAGGAAUAUGAUUUUACCCCAACUUUAUUUUAUCUAAUAGCAUUAGAUAGAUCUCAAUACCAAACUAAGUCUCAGGGCGGAACGGAUUUCAUUAGUCACAUCCUAAAAAUAAAGCAGCUUAGGGCGCGAAAAAAAAAGAAGAAAGAAGAUUAAUUUCAUACAAGUCUCUACAAAUAUAGUGAAUAACAAAUAUAUCCCUAAAAAGUUCAACUUUCAUAUGCAAUUCCUGCAAAAGUCUAGAUAUUUUUAAAUAUAUUCCUAUCAUUAGAAUCCGUUAAAAAAUUUAGUUAACCAUAGAUGAAAUACUUAACCCUGAUUAGUUUUUGACAUUUUUCCCUUCCUAUAUUAUACUGUUGUGCUUUUUUUUUAAAAAAAAACAUAUUUGUGAUGGCAAAAUUAAAAAUAUAAAAAAUUAUUUAACAGUAACAAACCAGAAGGACAUAUUUAAAAAUAUUAGUUAUACUUUAUAUAAAUAUAUUUAUUAUUUACUAUAUUUGUAGGGACAUGUACCAAAUUAACCCACAAAAUAAAAUCCUCCAAAU
rnacentral:lncRNA from 1 species